rnacentral:rRNA from 1 species
UAAUGGGUCAGCGACUUAUAUUCUGUAGCAAGGUUAACCGAAUAGGGGAGCCGAAGGGAAACCGAGUCUUAACUGGGCGUUAAGUUGCAGGGUAUAGACCCGAAACCCGGUGAUCUAGCCAUGGGCAGGUUGAAGGUUGGGUAACACUAACUGGAGGACCGAACCGACUAAUGUUGAAAAAUUAGCGGAUGACUUGUGGCUGGGGGUGAAAGGCCAAUCAAACCGGGAGAUAGCUGGUUCUCCCCGAAAGCUAUUUAGGUAGCGCCUCGUGAAUUCAUCUCCGGGGGUAGAGCACUGUUUCGGCAAGGGGGUCAUCCCGACUUACCAACCCGAUGCAAACUGCGAAUACCGGAGAAUGUUAUCACGGGAGACACACGGCGGGUGCUAACGUCCGUCGUGAAGAGGGAAACAACCCAGACCGCCAGCUAAGGUCCCAAAGUCAUGGUUAAGUGGGAAACGAUGUGGGAAGGCCCAGACAGCCAGGAUGUUGGCUUAGAAGCAGCCAUCAUUUAAAGAAAGCGUAAUAGCUCACUGGUCGAGUCGGCCUGCGCGGAAGAUGUAACGGGGCUAAACCAUGCACCGAAGCUGCGGCAGCGACACUAUGUGUUGUUGGGUAGGGGAGCGUUCUGUAAGCCUGUGAAGGUGGCCUGUGAGGGUUGCUGGAGGUAUCAGAAGUGCGAAUGCUGACAUAAGUAACGAUAAAGCGGGUGAAAAGCCCGCUCGCCGGAAGACCAAGGGUUCCUGUCCAACGUUAAUCGGGGCAGGGUGAGUCGACCCCUAAGGCGAGGCCGAAAGGCGUAGUCGAUGGGAAACAGGUUAAUAUUCCUGUACUUGGUGUUACUGCGAAGGGGGGACGGAGAAGGCUAUGUUGGCCGGGCGACGGUUGUCCCGGUUUAAGCGUGUAGGCUGGUUUUCCAGGCAAAUCCGGAAAACCAAGGCUGAGGCGUGAUGACGAGGCACUACGGUGCUGAAGCGACAAAUGCCCUGCUUCCAGGAAAAGCCUCUAAGCAUCAGGUAACAUCAAAUCGUACCCCAAACCGACACAGGUGGUCAGGUAGAGAAUACCAAGGCGCUUGAGAGAACUCGGGUGAAGGAACUAGGCAAAAUGGUGCCGUAACUUCGGGAGAAGGCACGCUGAUAUGUAGGUGAAGCGACUUGCUCGUGGAGCUGAAAUCAGUCGAAGAUACCAGCUGGCUGCAACUGUUUAUUAAAAACACAGCACUGUGCAAACACGAAAGUGGACGUAUACGGUGUGACGCCUGCCCGGUGCCGGAAGGUUAAUUGAUGGGGUUAGCGGUAACGCGAAGCUCUUGAUCGAAGCCCCGGUAAACGGCGGCCGUAACUAUAACGGUCCUAAGGUAGCGAAAUUCCUUGUCGGGUAAGUUCCGACCUGCACGAAUGGCGUAAUGAUGGCCAGGCUGUCUCCACCCGAGACUCAGUGAAAUUGAACUCGCUGUGAAGAUGCAGUGUACCCGCGGCAAGACGGAAAGACCCCGUGAACCUUUACUAUAGCUUGACACUGAACAUUGAGCCUUGAUGUGUAGGAUAGGUGGGAGGCUUUGAAGUGUGGACGCCAGUCUGCAUGGAGCCGACCUUGAAAUACCACCCUUUAAUGUUUGAUGUUCUAACGUUGGCCCGUAAUCCGGGUUGCGGACAGUGUCUGGUGGGUAGUUUGACUGGGGCGGUCUCCUCCUAAAGAGUAACGGAGGAGCACGAAGGUUGGCUAAUCCUGGUCGGACAUCAGGAGGUUAGUGCAAUGGCAUAAGCCAGCUUGACUGCGAGCGUGACGGCGCGAGCAGGUGCGAAAGCAGGUCAUAGUGAUCCGGUGGUUCUGAAUGGAAGGGCCAUCGCUCAACGGAUAAAAGGUACUCCGGGGAUAACAGGCUGAUACCGCCCAAGAGUUCAUAUCGACGGCGGUGUUUGGCACCUCGAUGUCGGCUCAUCACAUCCUGGGGCUGAAGUAGGUCCCAAGGGUAUGGCUGUUCGCCAUUUAAAGUGGUACGCGAGCUGGGUUUAGAACGUCGUGAGACAGUUCGGUCCCUAUCUGCCGUGGGCGCUGGAGAACUGAGGGGGGCUGCUCCUAGUACGAGAGGACCGGAGUGGACGCAUCACUGGUGUUCGGGUUGUCAUGCCAAUGGCACUGCCCGGUAGCUAAAUGCGGAAGAGAUAAGUGCUGAAAGCAUCUAAGC